GGAAUAGCUCAGUUGGUAGAGCACUGGUCUCCAAAACCAGGUGUCGGGAGUUCGAGUCUCUCUUCC
rnacentral:tRNA from 3 species